AGCAGGAUAAAGGUUGUUUAUUAAGAGAACGUGUGUGUAGUAUCAGCAGGAUAAAGGUUGUUUAUUAAGAGAACGUGUGUGUAGUAUCAGCAGGAUAAAGGUUGUUUAUUAAGAGAACGUGUGUGUAGUAUCAGCAGGAUAAAGGUUGUUUAUUAAGACAACGUGUGUGUAGUAUCAGCAGGAUAAAGGUUGUUUAUUAAGACAACGUGUGUGUAGUAUCAGCAGGAUAAAGGUUGUUUAUUAAGACAACGUGUGUGUAGUAUCAGCAGGAUAAAGGUUGUUUAUUAAGAGAACGUGUGUCAGCAGGAUAAAGGUUGUUUAUUAAGACAACGUGUGUGUAGUAUCAGCAGGAUAAAGGUUGUUUAUUAAGAGAACGUGUGUGUAGUAUCAGCAGGAUAAAGGUUGUUUAUUAAGAGAACGUGUGUGUAGUAUCAGCAGGAUAAAGGUUGUUUAUUAAGACAACGUGUGUGUAGUAUCAGCAGGAUAAAGGUUGUUUAUUAAGAGAACGUGUGUGUAGUAUCAGCAGGAUAAAGGUUGUUUAUUAAGAGAACGUGUGUGUAGUAUCAGCAGGAUAAAGGUUGUUUAUUAAGAGAACGUGUGUGUAGUAUCAGCAGGAUAAAGGUUGUUUAUUAAGACAACGUGUGUGUAGUAUCAGCAGGAUAAAGGUUGUUUAUUAAGACAACGUGUGUGUAGUAUCAGCAGGAUAAAGGUUGUUUAUUAAGACAACGUGUGUGUAGUAUCAGCAGGAUAAAGGUUGUUUAUUAAGACAACGUGUGUGUAGUAUCAGCAGGAUAAAGGUUGUUUAUUAAGACAACGUGUGUGUAGUAUCAGCAGGAUAAAGGUUGUUUAUUAAGACAACGUGUGUGUAGUAUCAGCAGGAUAAAGGUUGUUUAUUAAGACAACGUGUGUGUAGUAUCAGCAGGAUAAAGGUUGUUUAUUAAGACAACGUGUGUCAGCAGGAUAAAGGUUGUUUAUUAAGAGAACGUGUGUGUAGUAUCAGCAGGAUAAAGGUUGUUUAUUAAGAGAACGUGUGUCAGCAGGAUAAAGGUUGUUUAUUAAGACAACGUGUGUGUAGUAUCAGCAGGAUAAAGGUUGUUUAUUAAGAGAACGUGUGUGUAGUAUCAGCAGGAUAAAGGUUGUUUAUUAAGAGAACGUGUGUCAGCAGGAUAAAGGUUGUUUAUUAAGAGAACGUGUGUGUAGUAUCAGCAGGAUAAAGGUUGUUUAUUAAGACAACGUGUGUGUAGUAUCAGCAGGAUAAAGGUUGUUUAUUAAGACAACGUGUGUGUAGUAUCAGCAGGAUAAAGGUUGUUUAUUAAGACAACGUGUGUGUAGUAUCAGCAGGAUAAAGGUUGUUUAUUAAGACAACGUGUGUGUAGUAUCAGCAGGAUAAAGGUUGUUUAUUAAGAGAACGUGUGUCAGCAGGAUAAAGGUUGUUUAUUAAGAGAACGUGUGUCAGCAGGAUAAAGGUUGUUUAUUAAGAGAACGUGUGUCAGCAGGAUGAAGGUUGUUUAUUAAGACAACGUGUGUCAGCAGGAUAAAGGUUGUUUAUUAAGAGAACGUGUGUAGUGUCAGCAGGAUAAAGGUUGUUUAUUAAGAGAACGUGUGUAGUGUCAGCAGGAUAAAGGUUGUUUAUUAAGAGAACGUGUGUAGUAUCAGCAGGAUAAAGGUUGUUUAUUAAGAGAACGUGUGUCAGCAGGAUAAAGGUUGUAUGGUGAGAAUGUAGCACAUGGGGGAUGUGGGAAACUUACUCCUCAGCCUGAAGUGUCACCACUUGUGCAGCCGAGUUGUUAACGCUUCGAUGGCGCCGACUGGUAAGACGCUUCGGGAGGGCGGUCACGUGCGCUAGCGAAGCAGAUGUCCUGGGUUCGAGCGUCCGUUUGAGCCCGAUCAGGAGGAAGCGGUACUCGCUGAGUAAGCAGAGUGACGUCAGUUAUCAGAAUGCUGCUGUUACCUUGGUUUACCUCUAUGAACUGAACUGGAAAAGAAACUGAAUCAACUGUCAAAGGACUUCUGGCCUUUUCUCUGCUUAAAGCACAUGAUAUCAUAAUGUCUGGUAUGUGAAUAUUGAAUAAGAUAUUAUUUCAGAAAAUGUCAAGGUACAUGUAUAUAAGAAUAUUAUAUACUUUGACGUGUCCAUCUAUUUAAAUAUUUUAACAACAGUGAACACUAACCUGGUGUUUGUUGGUUGAA